rnacentral:snRNA from 1 species
AGUCUAGAUUUAAUCAGG